AGAGCCACUGAGUUUGAGACUGUAAGAGCAGGCCGGGGCUCUGAAGACCCCCCUCGCCCAACCCCCUCAUUUUACAGAAGAGGCAACUGAGGCCCAGAGGGGGAGAACCCAGAGUGACAAUGCCAAUUAGGGCUGGGACUGGCACCCAGGUCUCCAGCCACCACAGUGCCCUGCCUCUGCCAGAAUCAAAACCCACCUGCCAGACGACAUGCACUUGAGAACACACCCUUUAGCGCUUUCUGCUGUCAGUUACAUGGCUCAUUCUCCUUUGACAGACAGAAUAGAGGAAUUCACUGGAAAGGAGAACCACUUCACAGCAACGUUUUACAAGAAGCCUGAUGGUGGGAUGGAGCCCGUCAUUCAUAUUAAUGAGACAUGCAUGGAAGUGGCAAUGAGCAUGUGGAGUGUGGCUAAAAGAAAUGUGGUUCUUCACUUGGAGCUGAUGUGAAACACAGGCAAUCUGUUGGCCUACUGAGAGGAACUUCUUUUAAAAGCCAAGAACAAGAAUACCACCCGAAGACAUCUGUUCCUCUCAUCCUUUAGUGAAGUGCAGAUGGAGAUUCCUAUGUGGUUUUG
rnacentral:lncRNA from 1 species